rnacentral:lncRNA from 1 species
UUUGACGUUUUGUCCACUUACUAUACAACCUAUUGAAACUCCUCCGGAAAUGGUACUUGCUUUGAUUGAAAAUUGUCAUGUUGUUCGAGUCACUUUGAAGCAAUUUUCACCGUUACCACCUUUAGCGUCAUGGUGCACAUGGGUUGUUGCGAGUCAAGUCUUGGACAUACGGAUGACUUACGGAAGAAAACCAACUCAGAUAAUCCAAGGUGCAAC